rnacentral:rRNA from 1 species
UACGGAGGGGACUAGCGUUGUUCGGAAUUACUGGGCGUAAAGCGCACGUAGGCGGAUUUGUAAGUCAGGGGUGAAAUCCCGGGGCUCAACCUCGGAACUGCCUUUGAUACUGCAAAUCUCGAGUCCGGAAGAGGUGAGUGGAAUUCCUAGUGUAGAGGUGAAAUUCGUAGAUAUUCGCAAGAACACCAGUGGCGAAGGCGGACUCACUGGCCCGGUACUGACGCUGAGGUGCGAAAGCGUGGGAGCGAACAGG